rnacentral:rRNA from 1 species
AUUGAACGCUGGCGGCAGGCCUAACACAUGCAAGUCGAGCGAGCGGCGGACGGGUGAGUAAUGUAUGGGGACUGCCCGAUAGAGGGGGAUAACUACUGGAAACGGUAGCUAAUACCGCAUACUAUCGGAUAACCCAUAUUGGAUUAGCUAGUAGGUGAGGUAAUGGCUCACCUAGGCGACGAUCCCUAGCUGGUCUGAGAGGAUGAUCAGCCGCCUUUGGACUGAGAACCGGCCCGUACUCCGACGGAGGCAGCAGUGGGACAUUUUGGACAAGGGGGGAAACCCUGAUCCAGCCAUCCCGCGUGUAUGAUGAAGGCCUUCGGGUUGUAAAGUACUUUUGGCAGAGAAGCGGUAUCUGCAGAAUAAGCACCGGCUAACUUCGUGCCAGCAGCCGCGGUAAUUC